rnacentral:rRNA from 1 species
GACGUAGGGGGCGAGCGUUGUCCGGAAUUACUGGGCGUAAAGGGCGCGUAGGCGGCCCGCUAAGUCGAACGUGAAAUCCCCGAGCUCAACUCGGGAACUGCGUCCGAUACUGGCGGGCUUGAAUCCGGGAGAGGGAUGCGGAAUUCCAGGUGUAGCGGUGAAAUGCGUAGAUAUCUGGAGGAACACCGGUGGCGAAGGCGGCAUCCUGGACCGGCAUUGACGCUGAGGCGCGAAAGCUAGGGGAGCAAACGGG